rnacentral:rRNA from 1 species
CCUACGGGAGGCUGCAGUGAGGAAUAUUGGUCAAUGGACGAGAGUCUGAACCAGCCAAGUAGCGUGAAGGAUGACUGCCCUAUGGGUUGUAAACUUCUUUUAUAAAGGAAUAAAACGAGGCACGUGUGCCUUUUUGCAUGUACUUUAUGAAUAAGGAUCGGCUAACUCCGUGCCAGCAGCCGCGGUAAUACGGAGGAUCCGAGCGUUAUCCGGAUUUAUUGGGUUUAAAGGGAGCGUAGAUGGGUUGUUAAGUCAGUUGUGAAAGUUUGCGGCUCAACCGUAAAAUUGCAAUUGAUACUGGCAGUCGUGAGUACAGUUGAGGUAGGCGGAAUUCGUGGUGUAGCGGUGAAAUGCUUAGAUAUCACGAAGAACCCCGAUUGCGAAGGCAGCUUACUAAACUGUAACUGACAUUGAUGCUCGAAAGUGUGGGUAUCAAACAGGAUUAGAUACCCGAGUAGUC